CCAGCCCAUCAAGUCGCUUCGUCCUGGGCUUAGCCCACCACGUCUCUUUCUCAGUUUCUCGGCCCGUCCGCCGUUGGUUGGCUGCUUCCGCUCUCCUCCAAUCCAAGGCUCCCCGCGUCCCCGCCCUUCUCCUCCCGCGCCGCCGUUCGCGCGCGAGAAAACGAGGCGGCGGCGAUAUCGGAUGGAUGAUGCCACUGCCCUCUCUCUCUCUCUCUCUCGCCUUCGCGCGCGCGUGCUAACUCACAGCAUUGGUAAGUGCGAGGUGAUGGUGCCAUUGCUGCUCGUGCGGGAUGCGGUCUCGUGGUCACGAGGUUCCCUAUGAUGCCCGCGACGUGUUCGACGGUUUGCGCGAGCGAGGGAGGCGCGGCGGUGGUUUUGGGCUGAGCGUUUGGUGCCUCUCGUUUUCUGAUUCCCUGUCGGUCCCUACUUCAUUUCGGCAUGGGAUGGAGACUCGGGCCGUGCUGGGGUUUGGUGCUAUACUGCUAUCGUCCAGGGAGCUAAAACAGGAAACGGGUUGAUUCCCCCGGGCUCGAAUUCAGAACAUCAAUGCUUUGCUGGCUGAUUGCUGCCUGCUCUUAUCAAUCAUCCGCUUGCAGGACUGUAGGCUGUGGUGAUUUUAGUGGUUCUCCAUCCCAGUAAAAUUUGCAAAUUUCUGGAUGUUGCACAUCUCCUGAUCUGCAAGAAUAUUACCUUCUUCAAGGAGAAUAAACUUAUGCUGUGAGAAUUGUUUUAUCACCCUAUGGCCUCUGUAGACUCUAUACGGGGUGAAUAUCAGUUAGGUCUUUUUCAUGGAACCUGUGACCAUGUGAUUUCAAAAUCUGUUCACGUUGUUGAAUUAGUAUAUAGGGAAAGAAUUUGUGUUGUCAGCUAAUGGUUGUGCCUUUUGGUUCUGCUUCUGGGAUCUUCAUUUUGAUUUUGUGACAAUCUGGUUUGCAUUUUUUUCCCCCUGGAAUUACACCAAGAAAAAGCAUUCUUUGCAGCUGAGAUUUGAUAUGUAUCUCCGGCAUGUACCCUUCAGUAAACAAAGUAUUUGAAAUACGAUAGGAAUUAGUAGUGUCGGAAAUGCAAAGCUGUACUUCUUUUGCUAUUUGCCUGACGUUUUGCUUGUUUUGAGCUUUCCUUACCUUUUGCUAAUCUGUUUACCUUUACUAUGUUUCAGGGACAGGAGAUGAUUCUAGGGCCAAACAUGCAGCUGUGGCAUCUGGAAGCACCACAAGUUAUGUAGAUUCCAUCUUCUCACCGCUGUUGCUGCAAAUAAUCUUUGUUAACUAAUGGUACCCAGAUUGCUUACUUUGGACCUAUGCUUCUCCUUUAUGUUCCUUCCUGCAACAAACUGCCGACAUACUAUUUAUACUAGGUUUGCUGUUAGUGCAGUGAAAUUUGGAUAUAUCUAUAUGUCUAGAGAUUUCCUAUCCAUGUGACCUGAUUGUACAAUGCUGUUUCUUUGGUGGAAUUUAGUAUUUGCAUAUUAACUUCUUUAGUUUGCUCCCUGUAUGCCCAUAUGGUUAAGUUGAUUAUCAGCUCCGUUUUUUGCCAAUUGAUAAUCUGACAGGUACAUUAGUUCUGAAGCUUCCGAGUUCUGGAGACAUGCAAUUGAUGUCAAUUGUUCUCAGGCAUCUCUAUCUUUUAACUUGGAGUAUAUCUAUAAUACAUACAAAAUUAUCCAUGUUUCUAAAUUGGCUGCAACAGCUAACCUCAGCAAUCACAUUGAUUAGCUACCUUCUAUAUAUCUAGUUUGUAGUACCUAAAGACUAAACUCUCUAAUGGUCCACCUAGAUUGUUCCCAGAUAGCACCUAAUAUCUAUGAGCUGUGGCAUAAAAUAUUCCAGUUACUGCUGGACCCUGCAUUUUGCUGAUAGGUACAAAAAGCUAUUUUCCGCUGCAUUUUUUUUAAUGAUUUUGCAAUUUAGGACAUACUUGAUAGUAUUAUUAUUCCGUGCUAUCCUAUGAACUGGCUUGCCAUUAACUUCAUACAUCUCUCUGGUUUUAUUCUAAGAUCAUACUUAGUAUGUGUCAACCCCCAUAGUAUUAAUAUUCCCAGCAUAGAAAUGCUGCUAAGUUUCUGUCUUGUAUUGAACAGCAUAUUCUUUCUUAUAUUGAAUUAUCUGCACUGAAUAUUUGGAGCCUUUUCUUGCUGUUGACUAGUUGGAGUAAUAGUUGCAUUUCCAAUGAUUUUUGUCCCAAAGACAGGCUAGCAUGAAGCUGUAGCUGGAGUUUUUCCUGCGCUUUGCCUGCCACCACUGAGCUUAAAACAUGGACAACAUCAUUAAAUCAAAUCCUUAAGAUUCUCCAAGGAAGCGAGGAUUAGUAGCAACAGCUGAGAUCCCACAUUCCCACUAUUUACUAGGAUAAUGAUAAGUACUAGUACUAUAUAACACAUUACAAUUCACAUUCGUCCAUUUUCUGUACAGCCUGUUAGUCUUCUCAAAGGAUUUUUGUUCCCUAAUUACCCUUACAUUUGUUCUUGCACAUACAAUAUUUCUGUUUUCUUGAUUCAUGUACCUCUGAAUCAUUUUCAUCUUUAUUUCAGGUCUUGUAAGCAAGUCAUGGCAGGUACGGUGGCACUAAUAUGUUUGUCCCAAUAAGUCAAUGCUCCCGUGCCAUGGAUUCUUAUAUGGGGGCCAUAUUCUAUUAGCCCUUCAAACAUACUAGUAGGGAAAAACUCAAUGAUUUGGCUCUGAAAUGUCAAAAGGAACCCCAGAAGUGCUAAUUUGAUUUACGCCGUCAAAAACGAAUUCAGAGGAAUGUCUGUUUGCCAGAGGGCAUGCAGAAAACCAGGAGAUGUGGUGCCAUGCUGCCAUGCAAAGAAGAAGUUUUUGUCAACCACAACACAUGGGCACCAAUCAAUCAUCCAUUAGAGGUGUGCGUAUUGCAAGGAAUACUAUAUACUUAUAUGGCUCUCACGACGUGCGGCGCACUAAUGAUGGAUUCGGUGCGUGCGUACGUGUGCGUGCGUGCGUACGUCCGUCAGUAACGGUAACAACGGCCGGGGACCAAACCAACAGAGAGAGAGAGACCAACUGCUGCAGAGACCGGUGUCGCCAUGUUCAUCAUCAUCAAUUCAUCAUGCCUACCUUUGCUUGCAAUUUCAACGCAGCGAUUGGUGCAGGCAUAUGCUUUUUCCUCAGAAAGUUUGCUGCGAGCUUGACAAUGUAUGUCCAUCCUGAACUACCUGCAGGUAAACACAUCUAUAUCCUCCCCCUCAAUUUUGUGGAAAUUAUUACCGAAAUCCUUCUGUUUUUAUUUGAUGUUUAAAAUUGAACUAACCAACGUCAUGUUGAUAAAAAUAGAGGGA